UUGGUGAGUACUUCUACUAAAAACGCCCACAUCUUGUGGGCAACGUAGAAGCCACCGCCUCCUGCGGA
rnacentral:sRNA from 1 species